GGGUGGGGAUUUGUUGCAUUACUUGUAGCUGUAUGUAGAGUAUUGCACUUGUCCCGGCCUGU
rnacentral:pre_miRNA from 2 species